rnacentral:piRNA from 12 species
GCCCGGAUAGCUCAGUCGGUAGAGCAUCA